CAGCGCCACGAGUGGCAGUCAGUAUUAUUGGGCCUAAAGCGUCCGUAGCUGGACAAGUACAUCCCUUGUGAAAUCACCGAGCUUAACUCGGUGGCGUGCAGGGGACACGACUCGUCUUGGGAGCGGGAGAAGUGAGAGGUACUCGAGGGGGACCGGUAAAAUGGUAUAAUCCCUUGAGGACCACCGAUGGCGAAGGCAUCUCACCAGAACGCGUCCGACAGUGAGGGACGAAAGCCAGGGGAGCGAACCGGAUUAGAGACCCGAGUAGUCC
rnacentral:rRNA from 1 species